rnacentral:rRNA from 1 species
AUACGUAGGAAGCAAGCGUUAUCCGGAUUUACUGGGCGUAAAGCGGGUGUAGGCGGCCUGUCAAGUCUGGUGUGAAAUCUCCCGGCUUAACUGGGAGGGUGCAUUGGAUACUGAUGGGCUGGAGUGCAGCAGAGGAAAGUGGAAUUCCCGGUGUAGUGGUGAAAUGCGUAGAUAUCGGGAAGAACACUAGUGGCGAAGGCGGCUUUCUGGGCUGUAACUGACGCUGAGACCCGAAGGCGUGGGUAGCAAACAGGAUUAGAUACCCUGGUAGUCCACGCAGUAAACGAUGGAUACUAGGUAUAGGGAGUAUCGACCCUCUCUGUGCCGAAGCUAACGCUUUAAGUAUCCCGCCUGGGGACUACGGUCGCAAGACUAAA